UCUUGAAGAUGACAUGAGAAAUUACAUAUGAUGACAGUUUGGAAAUUGCAAACAUUGCUCAUCAAAUAAGGAACUCUUCUUAAAUGGCUGGUUGGCAUGUUUUUAAAAACCAAUUUCAUAACUGUUCCAGAGCAUGUGAAGGACCUCUCGAUCGACGUAGAAUAAGAAGAGGAAACCAAACCCUAAGGCUGCUGAUAUGGUCACAUGCAGACUGCCAGUCCCCUGACAUGAUCUUAGCAGGAAGCCUUUCUGCUCCCCGGUCACCUCAUACCCCCUGAGAGUCAUGGAUGGGAGGACUCGGCCCAGGGGUUCACCUCCUUGAUUCCUGGGUUAAAGAGACUGACACAAUCACACAAGACUGAUGUUUAUACUCUCCUUUUCUUAAAACCUGCUCCAACCCAGGACCAGAUUCAUGGGUCAGACUCAGUGCUUCAUUCUGAGAGCUGCUAAAGCUGUUAUGCAACUCUCUUUGAGAAAGAAAUCAGAAGAACAGAAGUUGAAAUUGAAAAACUGACCUGUCUCUUAGUCAUUCGUAAGCAUUAGAUCACUUCUCUACAGAGUAGGUCUAGGCCAUUCUUUUUAAUCUUAUGGCAAAUAUCUUUAAAAUGUUUAUACUGCUUUGACAUUAUUUUGUAUUUUAAACUUUUGAAAACAGUUCUCAUACUUUUUCAUGUCUCAGCUUUGUUAUAUGCCACCCAUUCUCUCUUUUGUGCAUGCCCUGUGACUGCGUCCCACAUAAAUGUUUGUGCCAGAUCAUCAUAUGCUAGUAUUGGCAAUUCAGUAAUAAAAAGAUAUCACUAUUUCCCAACUUUCUAUAACAAAUAUAAAGUAAUGUCACCAAGGAUAUAUAACUCUGAUAUAUUUUAAGCUAAGAAAGACAUCAGGAAAUAAGACAUUUUUGAAAGAUUUUUUAAUACCCCAAGGAGAGAGAAAAGCCAUGGGCUUUAAAAAACAAAAUAAAGAAGUCCUUUUUCAGAAAUGACCCAUGUGAGAACAUAAAUAGAAAGAGACAAAAGUAAAGGAAUUUGAACAGAAUUAAAGUAAAUCAAGAAACAAAGAAAAGGAAUUUAUAUAGAUCAGGUUACAAAAUUGAGGGGGGGAAAAAAGCCAGUAUUGGGUUCAAGAGAAAAAGAUUACAGAACAUGUUAUCCCCUAAUUAAAAAGAAGGAAUUAAAUAAUACAUGUAUUUUUAGACCUGUCUCAGGAACAAUGAAAGUUAGAGAGACAGGAUAUGGGAUAGGAGCUAUGCCAGGCCACCAAUCUGAUAAUGAAGAGGGAAUUGUGGUAUGGAGUUCGAAGGCCUGGGUUUGAUAAAAACUUCAUCACUUAUUAGCUGUGUGACCUUGCACCAGUCAUUUAAUGUUUCUUAAGCAUCUCUACUUCUGCAUUUGUAUGGUGGAAACUAUGCCUGCCUAAUGGUGUCUGGUGAGGGUUACACAAAGAUAAUACAGAUAAGUUUUAUAGACUUCAAAGACCUUCUGAAUAUGCAGGUCAACAACCCAUAAACACAAUUAUUUUAAAAUCAGACCUUGCAGCACCAAAUGUUACCAGAUUGUUCAUGAAAUAUAAUUCAUGAAGCAUCGAUUCAACCAACAUUAGUUGAGCACAUGCUAUAUGUCUGUGAAUGUGCU